CUAUUCUAAUUGUUACCACGGUGAGCUGUGCAGUGCCUGUCUGCUGGUGCCACGCCCAGCUGAUUUCGAAGGAAUCGUCAAGCAAGCAUGGCGCGGCCCGUGACUUCCGAGAGAGUGAUCCUUGACCGUCCUUGACUGGCUCCAGGAAAUUCUUGGGGAUGCCCUUGAGGUUGACGAGGAGAUGGCACGCCGGCAGGCCCUGUGUACUGCUGCAAUAUUCUACUUGCGGGAGCGCGGUGGGGGACUCGUCGGGGCCCCACUCCAAUGCCGUCCUUGUCCGAGCAAGGGAGUAGAAAUGGCGGCUUAGCCCGGGCUGGUGCAGGCGGGUCGGCGCGGAGCAGUUCUGGUGGGAAUGCCAGCGGAGGACCGUCAGCCGCGGGGCGCCGUCGGAUUGCUCAGCGGCUGAGCCACCCGACUUCAUCUAUGGCUGGUGUCCAUCGUCCGGUGUUGCGCUAAACUGCUGAAGCGCCUCAACUUUCAUUACUUUCGCACUUGUAUUGUUCUUCAAUUAUAUGGAGCAACAUUAAAAUUAAAU